UAGGGAAUCUUCGGCAAUGGGGGGAACUGACCGAGCAACGCCGCGUGAGUGAAGAAGGUUUUCGGAUCGUAAAGCUCUGUUGUUAAGGAAGAACGAGUGUGAGAAUGGAAAGUUCAUACUGUGACGGUACUUAACCAGAAAGGGACGGCUAACUACGUGCCAGCCGCCGCGGUAAUACGUAGGUCCCGAGCGUUGUCCGGAUUUAUUGGGCGUAAAGCGAGCGCAGGCGGUUAGAAAAGUCUGAAGUGAAAGGCAGUGGCUCAACCAUUGUAGGCUUUGGAAACUGUUUAACUUGAGUGCAGAAGGGGAGAGUGGAAUUCCAUGUGUAGCGGUGAAAUGCGUAGAUAUAUGGAGGAACACCGGUGGCGAAAGCGGCUCUCUGGUCUGUAACUGACGCUGAGGCUCGAAAGCGUGGGGAGCGAACAGG
rnacentral:rRNA from 1 species